UUGACUGAGAAAAGCAUCUUGAAAUCUUGAUUUUUAUUUUCUCAUUGUAUUUUUUUCCUUAAGAUGCUUGCAGUUCUCCAUAAGAAGAAUACUCUCUAUGAGAUCUUUUUCAAUCACUUCAAGGAAAAUAAGGUGAAGAUAGCAAGUGCAAUAACAAAGCUAUUUCCUUUCCUCGAAAGCCUCAGAGACCGCUCUUUUAUCACCAAUAAAAUCUAUACUAGAGUGGUGUACAACGUUCUCUGCCGCCUCGAGGAGAGAUUUGAUUGUUCACUUCUAGAAGUCCUGUUCAGCAGGGUUAACCUGAAGGAAUAUCCUGAAUUAAUUGAAAUUCAUAAAAGCUUCGAAAAUGUGCUCCAAGACAAAUAUUCUCCCCAGAAAAGUGAUGGAAAAGAGACACAAAAAAAGCACAGCAUUCAGCCAGAUUGUGAAAGAGGAAAUGGUGAAAACUCUUUUCCAAGCCUGCCUGGACCACAAUCAGAUUCCUCCUUUUCCACUGGUACAACCCCACCUGAGAGUGGACUCUUGGAGCACCUCUGUGAAACGGAGCAGGCAAACGCAAGGAGAAAUGACACAGCUGGAGACAAAAAUGACGCACUAGGAUGUCAAGAAGCAAAUCAGCAAUGUGCCCAAGAGCCUGAGCCAGCAGAGUCCUGUGGACCAGUAGUGACUAAUGGAGAUGCAAGAAAGGAGACACCCAGCCCAUUGCCCUGCGAUGAGCCAAGGGCAGAGCUACCCAGCCAAAGAAUCCAAAUUAAUUCCUGUUUUGUGUGUCUGGUGGAUAUAAUGAAGAAAAAGCCACCUUUUAACUCAGAAGAUGAGCAGCAAGCCCAAGCAAGGACUAACCGUAACCAGGCACCUGACAUAAUAGUCAUCAGCAGCGAGGACUCUGAAGAAUCCAGCGAUGGAGAUGAACCCCCGGGAGCCCCCAUCUCAGCACUGGAGAGUGAGCCCCAUGGAGAAGUGAUCAAGGAAUUAAGCGAGAGAGAGGAGACCCAAGAAGCCACUUGCUCAUGACCUCCGAAUGCACCAGAUCUUGUGAAUAUUGGAAACACACCUACUUGUUGGAUACUUAAAAGGAAAAGACCACAUAGGCCUCAAAGUGUUCCAUGUCCCAAGUGCAAUACAGAAUCCAGUGAGGAUGAGUCACCCCCGAAAGUCUGGAGCUCAGCACUGAGAAGUGAGCAUGGUGAGAAGGGGAUCAGCAAUAGUGAUCCUUCAGAGAUGAGUCAUGGAGAAGACCCUCAGGAAACCUGCAGCUCAGCCCUAAGAAGUGGGUCAGAUACCAUGGAUGCUGAAAACAAUUCUGCUUUGGAAAGACACAGUGGAAGAAGAAGGUGCUCAGCAGCUUGGAGUUCUCCAGCAGAUUCUUCCUUCUCUGACUCUGAAUCACUUUCAGAGUCAUCUGGACUUUCAGGAUCAGGUGAAUCAUCAUCAUCAUCGUCAUCAUCUCCAGCCACAUCACCUUCUCCAUCAUGAUCUUCUACCUCACUGAAGCCAAGUCCACAAUGUCGCCGGUAUCUUCCUGAUAAUUUACUGUCCAUACUUGCUGAUAUUGAGACUCCGGUUCUUCAUUAAUUUUCUUGUCUUCUUCCCCUGUUCGGAAGGGCGAUGUCGAUUUGUGAUCGCCUGUAACAAGACGACCAGUAUGUCCUUUCUUUCCUGGACCCAUCAGUCUCAAGAAUUUUUGUUUUCUCUCUUCGUUACCCAAGUCUGCGGCCUCCCAAUUGCUAGAUUCAGGAUCGUCGACUGGGGAGGCUGAACGCUUCACCCCGUGGGGGUGAGACUCUCCGGCCGCGCUCCUCGUUGUAGGGGUCCCGCCGGGAAAUGCCGAACCCACCCGCCGGGAAAUGCCGAACCCACCCGCCGGGAAGUGCCGAACCCACACGCCGGGAAAUGCCGAACCCACUCGCCGUCCUCAGCGGCGACGCCAGCAGCCUGCAGUCUGCCACCGGCCCAAGCAGCGCUACUCCAGAACGCAGAGCUUCUGUUGUUUUUCUUUUAGGUUUGUUAAAGGAAUCUUUUAUCCUAGAGAAGUUUUAAAUUUUUAUGCAGUUAAAUUUGUCAGGUCUUUUCUCACUGGUGCCUGGAUUUCAUAUCAUAUUUACAACAGCCAUUCCUUCCUCAAGAUUUAAAAAAUAUUGUUCCAUAUUGAUUCUAGAAUGUUUGAAAUACCUGAUUAUUUUUAAUGUUUACAUGUGUAAUCCACAUGGGAUUUGCCUCUUUGUGUAUAUGAGGUGGAAAUUUAAAAAAUAUUCUCCACACUGUUGCAUCAUGAUUUAAAACACCAGUUUGAUCCCACAGUAUCUUUACCUGCCUAUGUUCUGUUUUUGUUUUGUAACCAAAUCGGCUAGAGAAGAGAAAGGAGAACUCAGAGAUAGAAACACCCUGAUGAUUCACUGGGGGUAAAUUUUAGAAUGAACUCAGGAAGAUCUCCCCCUACUCCUUUCCUAAGUCCAUUGGAACCUUUGAUUAGAAAUGCAUUCAAUUUGCAGAUUAAUUUAGGGAGAACAGAGACUUUUACCCUUUUAUUCAUGUAUUAUUUAAUGUUCUUCCACUAAGAAUUUUCUUUGUACAACUCUUGCAUUUUAAAAGUUUUAUGUGCUGUAUAAAGUUAUG